rnacentral:lncRNA from 1 species
GCUAGCUUCCAAUACAUACAGAUAGUUUCAAUCAUCAUACAUACACGUACUUAUCGUAUCUCCAUACAUACACAUAGUUUCACACUGUUUAUCAAUACAAAUCAGAACAGAAAGUAAACAGUAGCAGUCCAUCAAUAUUGGCUUCCAUGAAUGCCAACUUCCAUGAAGUGAAUCAAAUAUGCAAAAUGAAAAUAAGAAAGUUAGAAAAAGAAGAAAAAUAAAAC